rnacentral:rRNA from 1 species
GACAGAGGCCCCAAGCGUUAGGCGGAAUCACUGGGCUUAAAGCGUGUGUAGGCGGAUCGUUAAGUGUCUUGUGAAAUCCCACGGCUCACCCGUGGAACUGCUGGGCAUACUGGCGAUCUUGGGCCAACUAGGGGCAGCCGGAACAAGCGGUGGAGCGGUGAAAUGCGUAGAUAUCGCUUGGAACGCCGAAGGUGAAAACAGGCUGCUGGGGUUGCGCCGACGCUGAGACACGAAAGCAUGGGGAGCGAACGGG